UUUUUUUUUUUUUGGUUUUGGGCCACACCCGGUGACGCUCAGGGGUUACUCCUGGCUAUGCGCUCAGAAGUUGCUCCUGGCUUGGGGGACCAUAUGGGACGCCGGGGGAUCGAACCGCGGUACGUCCUAGGCUAGCGCAGGAAAGGCAGGCACCUUACCUCCAGCGCCACCGCCCGGCCCCCGAAAUCAACUUUUAACUUGGAAGAUUUUGUUUCUAUCUUCAGAGUGAGCUGUAGGGAUGCCUGAAGGAUAGGCAGGACAAGAAAGCAG